rnacentral:rRNA from 1 species
GACGAAGGGGGCUAGCGUUGUUCGGAAUUACUGGGCGUAAAGCGAGUGUAGGUGGUUGUACAAGUUGGAUGUGAAAGCCUUGAGCUCAACUCAAGAAAUGCAUUCAGGACUGGGCGGCUAGAGGACCGGAGAGGAUAGUGGAAUUCCCAGUGUAGUGGUGAAAUACGUAGAGAUUGGGAAGAACACCAGUGGCGAAGGCGGCUAUCUGGACGGUUUCUGACACUAAGACUCGAAAGCGUGGGGAGCAAACAGG